AUGAGCGGGGGCACCCCUUACAUCGGCAGCAAGAUCAGCCUCAUCUCCAAGGCGGAGAUCCGCUACGAGGGCAUCCCCUACACCAUCGACACCGAAAACUCCACCGUAGCCCUUGUGAAAGUUCGAUCCUUUGGUACAGAAGACAGACUGACAGAUCGUCCAAUACCACCUCGAGAUGAAGUCUUUGAAUACAUUAUAUUCCGUGGGAGUGACAUUAAAGACCUUACUGUUUGUGAGCCACCAAAACCACAGUGUUCUUUGCCUCAACACCCAGCUGUUGUUCAGUCCUCACUAGGCUCGACUUCUUCAUUCCAGUCCAUGGGUUCUUAUGGGCCUUUCGGCAGGAUGCCCACAUACAGUCAGUUCAGUCCAAGUUCCUUAGUUGGGCAGCAGUUUGGUGCUGUUGGUGUUGCUGGAAGCUCUUUGACGUCCUUUGGAACAGAAACAUCAAACAGUGGUAGCUUACCCCAAAGUAGUGCGGUUGGUUCUGCCUUUACACAGGAUACAAGAUCUCUAAAAUCACAGUUAUCUCAAGGUCGCGCAAGCCCUCAGUUAGACCCUUUGAGAAAAAGCCUAACCAUGGAACAAGCAGUGCAGACCGCCUCGGCCCACUUACCUGCUCCAGCAGCUAUUGGGAAAAGGAGUCCUGUAUCAACCAGGCCUUUGCCAUCUACCAGCCAAAAGGCAGGAGAGAAUCAGGAGCACAGGCGAGCUGAAGUACACAAAGUUUCAAGGCCAGAAAAUGAGCAACUCAGAAAUGAUAACAAGAGACAAGUAGAAGAUAAACUUGAGAAACAGAAGAAGCCUGUAAAUGGUGAAGAUAAAGGAGACUCAGGAGUUGAUACCCAAAACAGUGAAGGAAAUGCUGAUGAAGACGAUCCACUUGGACCUAAUUGCUAUUAUGACAAAAUUAAAUCCUUCUUUGAUAAUAUUUCUUGUGAUGACAAUAGAGAAUGGAGACCAACCUGGGCUGAAGAAAGAAGAUUAAAUGCUGAAACAUUUGGAAUCCCACUUCGUCCAAACCAUGGCCGUGGGGGAUACAGAGGCAGAGGAGGUCUUGGUUUCCGUGGUGGCAGAGGGCGUGGUGGUGGCAGAGGUGGUACCUUCACUGCCCCUCGAGGAUUUCGCGGUGGAUUCAGAGGAGGUCGUGGGGGCCGGGAGUUUGCAGAUUUUGAAUAUAGGAAAGACAACAAAGUUGCUGCAUAGUCUACAAACAAGUCUCUGAAAAUAGGUGAAUUUCCAGCUCUUCAUGGUCCUGAACAUUGAUUUCAGUCUUUGCGAAGAAUGAAGAAGUGAAUUCGCUGUAUAUUUGUCACCAGCACUGGGUUUUUGUUUUUUGUUUGUUUUUCCGCUUAAUUUCAAAGAUGAAAUGCAGUUACUUUUGGGGGUGGAAGGCUCAUCUUAAAACAUGAGCAUUAAAUAUAUUUGGAAUAGCAGAAGGUUAAGUAAUUUCUUAUGUAUAGUUAAACUAAAGCAGUGCUUCACUGGGACUUACAAGUAUUUUUUCAUCACUGAAAGGUUUUUUUUUUUAAUCACUAAAUUGUAUUUGGCAAUUGCAAGUUGCCUGCAGAUAGGGCCGUGAUACUCUGUUUUGAGCCACAGAAGGUUGUGUAUGUGUGCACGUGUG